UCAAGCUACUAAGGGCAUACGGUGGAUGCCUUGGCACUAAGAGCCGAUGAAGGACGCGGUAAGCUGCGAAAAGCCACGGGGAACUGCAAGCAAGUCUUGAUCCGUGGAUGUCCGAAUGGGGAAACCCACCAUCCGUCAUGGGAUGGUAUCCUACGGGAGGGGAACCCGGUGAACUGAAACAUCUAAGUAGCCGGAGGAAGAGAAAUCAAACGAGAUGCCCACAGUAGCGGCGAGCGAAGAGGGCAGAGCCUAAACCAGUCAUCUUCGGAUGGUUGGGGUUACGGACCUGCAUCAACCGAGUCCUACCUAGUCGAAUUACCUGGAAAGGUAAGCCAGAGAGCGUAAGAGCCGCGUAGGUGAAAGGAAGGACGAGGGGGCAGGGAUCCAGAGUACCACGAAGCACGAGGAAUUUUGUGGGAAGUCGGGGGGACCACCCUCCAAGGCUAAACACUUCUUAGUGACCGAUAGCGCAUAGUACCGUGAGGGAAAGGUGAAAAGAACCGCGGGAGCGGAGUGAAAGAGAACCUGAAACCGUAUGUCUACAAGCAGUCGGAGCGCAAGCGACGGCGUGCCUAUUGAAGAAUGAGCCAACGAGUUACGGGCACCAGCGAGGUUAAGCAGGAAAUGCGGAGCCGGAGCGAAAGCGAGUCUAAACAGGGCGAAUAGUUGGUGUUCGUAGACCCGAAACUGUAGUGAUCUACCCAUGAUCAGGUUGAAGCGCAGGUAAAAAUGCGUGGAGGACCGAACCGGUGAGCGUUGAAAAGCUUUCGGAUGAGAUGUGGGUAGGGGUGAAAUUCCAAUCGAACGCGGAGAUAGCUGGUUCUCCCCGAAAUAGCUUUAGGGCUAGCCUCAGGUAGUAAGUAUAGGCGGUAGAGCACUGAUCGGGCUAGGGGCCAUAAAGGUUACCGAACCCUGUCAAACUCCGAAUGGAUAUACUGCAGAGCCUGGGAGUCAGACUACGAGUGAUAAGAUCCGUGGUCAAAAGGGAAACAGCCCAGACCACCGGCUAAGGUCCCAAAUGCCGUACUAAGUGGAAAAGGAUGUGGGGAUUCAUAAACAACCAGGAUGUUGGCUCAGAAGCAGCCACCAUUUAAAGAGUGCGUAAUAGCUCACUGGUCGAGAGUCCCUGCGCCGAAAAUUUCCGGGGCUAAAGUACGGAACCGAAGCCGUGGCUGUGCAUGUAAGUGCACGGGGUAGGGGAGCGUUGCCACAGGGGUGAAGCUGGUCUGGAAGGACUGGUGGACUUGUGGGAAGUGAGAAUGUUGGUAUGAGUAGCGAAAAGAAAGGUGAGAAUCCUUUCCACCGAAAGCAUAAGGAUUCCUGAGCAACGAUCGUCGUCUCAGGGUAAGUCGGGACCUAAUCCGAGGCAAAGAGCGUAGGAGAUGGACAACAGGUUGAUAUUCCUGUACCGGCAGCAAUUGUUUGAGCGAAGGAGUGACACAGAAGGGCAGGCAGGCGCGAGACUGGAUUGUCGCGUGCAAGCGUGUAGGGUAGUGUACAGGCAAAUCCGUACACUGAAAGCCUGAGGCGUUACGCGGAGCGAGCAGAGAUGCGAGCGAAGCUGCUGAUCCCACACUGUCGAGAAAAGCUUCUAGUGAGAGAGCUGCCGCCCGUACCGUAAACCGACACAGGUAUGCGGGGAGAGAAUCCUAAGGUGCGCGGGAGAACCCUCGUUAAGGAACUCGGCAAAAUGUACCCGUAACUUCGGGAUAAGGGUAGCCACAGUGGUGAAGGGACUUGCUCCUGGAGCCUAGUGUGGUCGCAGAGAAGAGGCCCAAGCGACUGUUAACCAGAAACACAGGUGCCUGCGAAAGAGAAAUCUGAUGUAUAGGUGCUGACACCUGCCCAGUGCUGGAAGGUUAAAGAAGGAUGUCCGGGUUCGACCCAAAGCAUUUGACUGAAGCCCCAGUGAACGGCGGCCGUAACUAUAACGGUCCUAAGGUAGCGAAAUUCCUUGUCGGGUAAGUUCCGACCCGCACGAAAGGUGUAACGAUUUGGGCACUGUCUCAACGAGGGACCCGGUGAAAUUGAAAUACCUGUGAAGAUGCAGGUUACCCGCGACUGGACAGAAAGACCCCAUGGAGCUUUACUGUAACCU
rnacentral:rRNA from 1 species